AGCCCGCUGCGAUAACAUCUACGUGAAUAACCAAUAAAAUGCAAAUAGAUCUUCUCAUUCACAAGAAACUUCCAUGGUAACGGAAAACCAAAAGUAACUUAUACAUUAAAGGAGGUCUUCCUUCCCCUUCCGAAAAAAAGUUCUUUUGUAUGCAGUGGCUUUGUAAUAUGAAAAAAGGAAAGAAAUAUUAAAUUCUGUCAAAUUAAGGAUUUCCGCUGAUGUCUUGCUUUUGGUCCACUGGUGCUGCACCGCAGUUUCUUCAGUAAUACUUGCUGUUGAAGUUCAUUAGGUUUUGUUUAUUUUAGUCAUGCUCUAGAGCUUGAAAUGAUCUGAAGACGAUUAUAGGGAAACCCAGAAAGCCAUGAAAGAUGACCUCGAAAUAUCUCGUACAGGAGAAGACUUGUGUGCAGUUUGAUGCAAAAUUCUGCUAUUUCAUUUUAGUGUUUAAAUGGUACCACUUUUUUUCCUUCAUGGAACUCUUUAAUAAAAUUUGUGUGUUUUUAAUAAAGAAAAAUCGUUUUGCAGAGCAAUAUCAAGAGAUUAAUCCGUAAACUUUGGUGGAUUUAAAGGAUUGUAUACUGAGUGAGAUUGUAAACAUCCCUCAUGCCAUGUUGCGUUCAGCGGUAUUCUCCCUCUCUCCCAAUGCAAUGCAUACUUGCCUGUGAUG
rnacentral:lncRNA from 1 species